GGGUUGUGAGGUUAAGCGACUAAGCGUACACGGUGGAUGCCCUGGCAGUCAGAGGCGAUGAAGGACGUGCUAAUCUGCGAUAAGCGUCGGUAAGGUGAUAUGAACCGUUAUAACCGGCGAUUUCCGAAUGGGGAAACCCAGUGUGAUUCGUCACACUAUCAUUAACUGAAUCCAUAGGUUAAUGAGGCGAACCGGGGGAACUGAAACAUCUAAGUACCCCGAGGAAAAGAAAUCAACCGAGAUUCCCCCAGUAGCGGCGAGCGAACGGGGAGCAGCCCAGAGCCUGAAUCAGUGUGUGUGUUAGUGGAAGCGUCUGGAAAGGCGCGCGAUACAGGGUGACAGCCCCGUACACAAAAAUGCACAUACUGUGAGCUCGAUGAGUAGGGCGGGACACGUGGUAUCCUGUCUGAAUAUGGGGGGACCAUCCUCCAAGGCUAAAUACUCCUGACUGACCGAUAGUGAACCAGUACCGUGAGGGAAAGGCGAAAAGAACCCCGGCGAGGGGAGUGAAAAAGAACCUGAAACCGUGUACGUACAAGCAGUGGGAGCACAGAGCAAUCUGUGUGACUGCGUACCUUUUGUAUAAUGGGUCAGCGACUUAUAUUCUGUAGCAAGGUUAACCGAAUAGGGGAGCCGAAGGGAAACCGAGUCUUAACUGGGCGUUAAGUUGCAGGGUAUAGACCCGAAACCCGGUGAUCUAGCCAUGGGCAGGUUGAAGGUUGGGUAACACUAACUGGAGGACCGAACCGACUAAUGUUGAAAAAUUAGCGGAUGACUUGUGGCUGGGGGUGAAAGGCCAAUCAAACCGGGAGAUAGCUGGUUCUCCCCGAAAGCUAUUUAGGUAGCGCCUCGUGAAUUCAUCUCCGGGGGUAGAGCACUGUUUCGGCAAGGGGGUCAUCCCGACUUACCAACCCGAUGCAAACUACGAAUACCGGAGAAUGUUAUCACGGGAGACACACGGCGGGUGCUAACGUCCGUCGUGAAGAGGGAAACAACCCAGACCGCCAGCUAAGGUCCCAAAGUCAUGGUUAAGUGGGAAACGAUGUGGGAAGGCCCAGACAGCCAGGAUGUUGGCUUAGAAGCAGCCAUCAUUUAAAGAAAGCGUAAUAGCUCACUGGUCGAGUCGGCCUGCGCGGAAGAUGUAACGGGGCUAAACCAUGCACCGAAGCUGCGGCAGCGACGCUGAUGCGUUGUUGGGUAGGGGAGCGUUCUGUAAGCCUGCGAAGGUGUGCUGUGAGGCAUGCUGGAGGUAUCAGAAGUGCGAAUGCUGACAUAAGUAACGAUAAAGCGGGUGAAAAGCCCGCUCGCCGGAAGACCAAGGGUUCCUGUCCAACGUUAAUCGGGGCAGGGUGAGUCGACCCCUAAGGCGAGGCCGAAAGGCGUAGUCGAUGGGAAACAGGUUAAUAUUCCUGUACUUGGUGUUACUGCGAAGGGGGGACGGAGAAGGCUAUGUUGGCCGGGCGACGGUUGUCCCGGUUUAAGCGUGUAGGCUGGUUUUCCAGGCAAAUCCGGAAAAUCAAGGCUGAGGCGUGAUGACGAGGCACUACGGUGCUGAAGCAACAAAUGCCCUGCUUCCAGGAAAAGCCUCUAAGCAUCAGGUAACAUCAAAUCGUACCCCAAACCGACACAGGUGGUCAGGUAGAGAAUACCAAGGCGCUUGAGAGAACUCGGGUGAAGGAACUAGGCAAAAUGGUGCCGUAACUUCGGGAGAAGGCACGCUGAUAUGUAGGUGAAGUCCCUCGCGGAUGGAGCUGAAAUCAGUCGAAGAUACCAGCUGGCUGCAACUGUUUAUUAAAAACACAGCACUGUGCAAACACGAAAGUGGACGUAUACGGUGUGACGCCUGCCCGGUGCCGGAAGGUUAAUUGAUGGGGUUAGCGCAAGCGAAGCUCUUGAUCGAAGCCCCGGUAAACGGCGGCCGUAACUAUAACGGUCCUAAGGUAGCGAAAUUCCUUGUCGGGUAAGUUCCGACCUGCACGAAUGGCGUAAUGAUGGCCAGGCUGUCUCCACCCGAGACUCAGUGAAAUUGAACUCGCUGUGAAGAUGCAGUGUACCCGCGGCAAGACGGAAAGACCCCGUGAACCUUUACUAUAGCUUGACACUGAACAUUGAGCCUUGAUGUGUAGGAUAGGUGGGAGGCUUUGAAGUGUGGACGCCAGUCUGCAUGGAGCCGACCUUGAAAUACCACCCUUUAAUGUUUGAUGUUCUAACGUUGACCCGUAAUCCGGGUUGCGGACAGUGUCUGGUGGGUAGUUUGACUGGGGCGGUCUCCUCCUAAAGAGUAACGGAGGAGCACGAAGGUUGGCUAAUCCUGGUCGGACAUCAGGAGGUUAGUGCAAUGGCAUAAGCCAGCUUGACUGCGAGCGUGACGGCGCGAGCAGGUGCGAAAGCAGGUCAUAGUGAUCCGGUGGUUCUGAAUGGAAGGGCCAUCGCUCAACGGAUAAAAGGUACUCCGGGGAUAACAGGCUGAUACCGCCCAAGAGUUCAUAUCGACGGCGGUGUUUGGCACCUCGAUGUCGGCUCAUCACAUCCUGGGGCUGAAGUAGGUCCCAAGGGUAUGGCUGUUCGCCAUUUAAAGUGGUACGCGAGCUGGGUUUAGAACGUCGUGAGACAGUUCGGUCCCUAUCUGCCGUGGGCGCUGGAGAAUUGAGGGGGGCUGCUCCUAGUACGAGAGGACCGGAGUGGACGCAUCACUGGUGUUCGGGUUGUCAUGCCAAUGGCACUGCCCGGUAGCUAAAUGCGGAAGAGAUAAGUGCUGAAAGCAUCUAAGCACGAAACUUGCCCCGAGAUGAGUUCUCCCUGACUCCUUGAGAGUCCUGAAGGAACGUUGAAGACGACGACGUUGAUAGGCCGGGUGUGUAAGCGCAGCGAUGCGUUGAGCUAACCGGUACUAAUGAACCGUGAGGCUUAACCUUACAACGCCGAAGGUGUUU
rnacentral:rRNA from 1 species